rnacentral:sRNA from 1 species
UGAAUGAUCCUUUGCUGCCUAACUACCUCAACGGCUUCGAGUGUUUCGUCUGUGACUACGAACUGGCUCGGCUGGAUGCCGAGAAAGCCCACGCGGCCUCUCCCGGGGACAGCCCCAUCCUUGAGCCCCACAUUGCCCAGCCCUCACACAUGGACUGCCCAGUGCCCACACCUGGCUUUGGCAAUGUGGAAGAGAUUCCUGAGAAUGACAGAAAAGAACAAGAGGGAAGACAGACCUUCAGGCUGGGUGCAGUGGCUCAUGCCUGUGAUCCCAGCACUUUGGGAGGCCAAGGUAGGAGGAUCGCUUGAGCCCAGGGAUUCAAGACCAGCUUGGGUAACAUGGCAAAACCCUAUCUCUACAAAAAACAGAAAAAAUUAGCUGGGCAUGGUGUGUGUGCCUGUAGAUCCAGCUACUUGGGAGGCUGAAGUGGGAGGAGCGCCACUGCACUCCAGCGUGGGUGACAGAGUGACACCCUGUCUCAAAAACAGAAACUAAAAAAAAAAAAAACCUUCAAAAAUAUAUCUAAGCCAGAUGUGAUGGCAUGGGUCUGCAGUUCCAGCUACUCAGAAGGCUAAGGCAGGAAGAUCGCUUGAGCCCAAGAGUUUGAGGCUGUAGUACGCUGUGAGUACGCCUAUGAGUACCAACUGGGCAACACAGUGAGACCCCUGUCUUUAAAAAAAAAAAAAAAAUCUGUUGGGCUGGGUGAGGUGGCUUAUGCCUGUAAUCCCAGCACUCUGGGAGGCCAAGGCGGGUGGAUCACCUGAAGUCGGGAGUUCGAGACCAGCCUGACCAACAUGGAGAAACCUCAUCUCUACUAAACAUACAAAAUUAGCUGGGCGUGGUGGCAUAUGACUAUAAUCCCAGCUACUCAGGAGGCUGAGGCAGAAGAAUUGCUUGAACCCAGGAGGCAGAGGUGGUGGUGAACCGAGAUCACGCCAUUGCACUCCAGCCUGGACAACAAGAGCAAAACUCCAUCUCAAAAAAAAAAAAAAAAUCUGUUAAAAUUUGAUAUAGUAGACACUGACAAAAGAGGUCAAAUGCAGGACUGAUUUCUAAGCUUGCAAUCUAUCUAAAUGCAGAUGCUAAUUUAGAGUGCAUAAUACAUAUUACACAAGUACAGACCUAGAUUAGGGCUUAAAUUUCAUUAUGUGCAAUAAAAAGGUUAAGUGAUGGUUAAACAAGGUGUAGAUUAUCGUUACCUCUCCUAAUGACAUGAGCUCACACUGGCAUUCCUUUGGUACUUUUACAUAUAAAGUGGGCAGUUGUUUCUGAAUGACUGUUGCUGGAGCCUCAGGCCUGCUUUGUGCUUGGUGCUGUCCAGACUUUCUCCUUUAUUCCUAUCACCAUAUACAUACUCACAAAAGAGCAGUGUAAACCAGGUGUUACAUUUCCACAAGGUAAAGUAGAACCCACAAGGGAAAGUAGAACCAGGAAUAGUCACAUGAUACUUACUGAAAGCUUCACUUUCCCUAUAGAGAAAGCAAGCAACAUGAAUCUUCUGAUUUGGGGCCCAGCCUGCUCUGUAUACAGCAGCAGGCUCACUCACUGUAGGUUGGCGUUAUUGGUGAUAGAAAUGUCUGAUAGGAGUCUUUUAAUUAUACUCUGGAGUGUGGAGGUGGAGUGCAAGGCUGCUUCCUUUAUUACUGCAAGUGUUAUUUUCUAUUAUCUCAGGUUUCGUUUUGUGUAAUAAACUGCUUCUUGUUA